UGACGAGUGGCGGACGGGUGAGUAAUGCUUGGGAACUUGCCUUUGCGAGGGGGAUAACAGUUGGAAACGACUGCUAAUACCGCAUAAUGUCUUCGGACCAAACGGGGCUUCGGCUCCGGCGCAAAGAGAGGCCCAAGUGAGAUUAGCUAGUUGGUAAGGUAACGGCUUACCAAGGCGACGAUCUCUAGCUGUUCUGAGAGGAAGAUCAGCCACACUGGGACUGAGACACGGCCCAGACUCCUACGGGAGGCAGCAGUGGGGAAUAUUGCACAAUGGGGGAAACCCUGAUGCAGCCAUGCCGCGUGUGUGAAGAAGGCCUUCGGGUUGUAAAGCACUUUCAGUUGUGAGGAAAAGUUAGUAGUUAAUACCUGCUAGCCGUGACGUUAACAACAGAAGAAGCACCGGCUAACUCCGUGCCAGCAGCCGCGGUAAUACGGAGGGUGCGAGCGUUAAUCGGAAUUACUGGGCGUAAAGCGCACGCAGGCGGUUUGUUAAGCUAGAUGUGAAAGCCCCGGGCUCAACCUGGGAUGGUCAUUUAGAACUGGCAGACUAGAGUCUUGGAGAGGGGAGUGGAAUUCCAGGUGUAGCGGUGAAAUGCGUAGAUAUCUGGAGGAACAUCAGUGGCGAAGGCGACUCCCUGGCCAAAGACUGACGCUCAUGUGCGAAAGUGUGGGUAGCGAACAGGAUUAGAUACCCUGGUAGUCCACACCGUAAACGCUGUCUACUAGCUGUGUGUGCCUUUA
rnacentral:rRNA from 2 species